UAAUUUUAAUGCAGAGCUCUUUUCUUCCCAAUGCAGAAGUCUUAUUAAAGAAACAGCAGGAUGCUGACAGGAAACUGUUUGGCGAAUAAACGUGAUGUGUCUAUAACUCCAGAGCGCCCUGAGGAUUGCCGACUCAUUUGAUGAUGUUCAUCUCUCUGACAACCAAGAACUUUGGAAGAAUCUCUCUCCUCAGGCACUUCCAUUUUUGUGUCCAGAUUGGCAGCCUUCCAAACUCGCCAGAGGCCUUGCAGAAUGAAACUCUCUGUGGAGCGUUAGAAGACAAAUUGGACAUAAGUCCAUUGGACAUCUGGGAGAAAGAAGAAAGGUCAAGGAUGCUCCAGCUUGGUCAGCCUCUCAGGCCUGGCAGCAGAAGCUGAGACUCCUUCCUGCAUAACUUGGGCUUGAAUUAAAGGCAUUUUUUAGUCUGGAA
rnacentral:lncRNA from 1 species